rnacentral:piRNA from 1 species
UCUCUAUGCAGGUAGCAUGGGAGGAUGCCU